GACGAACGCUGGCGGCGUGCUUAACACAUGCAAGUCGAACGGAAAGGCCCUGCUUUUGUGGGGUGCUCGAGUGGCGAACGGGUGAGUAACACGUGAGUAACCUGCCCUUGACUUUGGGAUAACUUCAGGAAACUGGGGCUAAUACCGGAUAGGAGCUCCUGCUGCAUGGUUGGGGUUGGAAAGUUUCGGCGGGUGGGGAUGGACUCGCGGGUUAUCAGCUUGUUGGUGGGGUAGUGGAUUACCAAGGCUUUGACGGGUAGCCGGCCUGAGAGGGUGACCGGCCACAUUGGGACUGAGAUACGGCCCAGACUCCUACGGGAGGCAGCAGUGGGGAAUAUUGCACAAUGGGCGGAAGCCUGAUGCAGCAACGCGGCGUGCGGGAUGACGGCCUUCGGGUGGUAAACCGAUUUCGCCUGUGACGAAGCGUGAGUGACGGUAAUGGGUAAAGAAGCACCGGCUAACUACGUG
rnacentral:rRNA from 1 species